AAGUGGAGCAAUCCAUGAGUAAAGUGGCGCACGGGUGAGUAACACGUGACUAACCUACCCUCGAGUGGGGAAUAACCUCGGGAAACCGGGGCUAACACCGCAUAACAUCUACGGAUCAAAUGCGUAAGCAGCUUGAGGAGGGGGUCGCGGCUGAUUAGCUAGUUGGCGGGGUAAUGGCCCACCAAGGCAAUGAUCAGUAGCCGGCCUGAGAGGGCGCACGGCCACACUGGAACUGAAACACGGUCCAGACUCCUACGGGAGGCAGCAGUGGGGAAUUUUGCGCAAUGGGGGAAACCCUGACGCAGCAACGCCGCGUGGAGGAUGAAGCCCCUUGGG
rnacentral:rRNA from 1 species